rnacentral:rRNA from 1 species
CCUACGGGGUGCAGCAGUGGGGUAUAUUGCACAAUGGGCGCAAGCCUGAUGCAGCCAUGCCGCGUGUGUGAAGAAGGCCUUCGGGUUGUAAAGCACUUUCAGCGGGGAGGAAGGCGGUGAGGUUAAUAACCUCAUCGAUUGACGUUACCCGCAGAAGAAGCACCGGCUAACUCCGUGCCAGCAGCCGCGGUAAUACGGAGGGUGCAAGCGUUAAUCGGAAUUACUGGGCGUAAAGCGCACGCAGGCGGUCUGUCAAGUCGGAUGUGAAAUCCCCGGGCUCAACCUGGGAACUGCAUUCGAAACUGGCAGGCUAGAGUCUUGUAGAGGGGGGUAGAAUUCCAGGUGUAGCGGUGAAAUGCGUAGAGAUCUGGAGGAAUACCGGUGGCGAAGGCGGCCCCCUGGACAAAGACUGACGCUCAGGUGCGAAAGCGUGGGGAGCAAACAGGAUUAGAUACCCGUGUAGUC